UACAAAGUCAAUGCAAAACUUGAAAUUUCAAAUUGAAUUUUUGGCGUUUUUUUCCAUGGAAUGUUUUUGGUAUUUGGUCAAACAUAUAACUAUGUUAACCUCUUCAAUUUCUAAAACAUUUUAAGAGGUACGCUCUUGUUGAUUCAGAAAUACAUGCCUCCGCUCGCAAAACUUCAAACUGCAUUAUCUCUACAAUGACAAUAGAUAUCUCAAAUCUGUUAAAUGAUAAAUGAUCUACAGUUGAAGGACAACAUUAUAGAAAAGAAUUGGGACAAUUUCAAAGUUCACCAAGGUCACAAUUAAUCAUCAAAUAUAUGAUGCAAUACUAAACUUAAGAACCGGAAGUCUUAGAGACAUGGGACUAGCACCAUUCAACUCAGGAGCACUUGACCUUUCAAAUAUCACAAGGUCAAGGUCAUAGUAUACUGUGAAGGUCAAGGUGAAAUUUCAUCAUGACCUGACAUUGACCUCAAAUUGAAGGUCUUGAAUUACUGAUCAUCUUUGCAGUUUAUAGUAGGUUGAUAUCUGUUACCUUUAAAAAGAUAUACACACAAUACUAUACUUUUAAGAAUCAUCCCGUUGUAACUUUUAAACAGACGGUCAGACAUGUUUAGGCUUAUUGCAUAAAAUGUAGAGCUCGUCGAGAGGAACAAUUUACACGCUGUAUGUAUGCAGCAAAGACUUAUCGUUUUCCUAAUAUGUAAGCUUGAAAUUGCAGCGUAAUUUUUUUUUGCACUCGGUGACCUUUGACCUUGGUGCAAAUUAAAGGUCACAUGAAUUAAAGAAUAUUGGUGAAGGUCCCAAGUCUCUACGACUUCCGGUUCUCGAAAUAUAAUUUUUCCAAAAAUGUAUAAUUUUUCAAGGGAAAUAACUUCUUAUCAGGG
rnacentral:lncRNA from 1 species